UGCAACUGGCACAGAACGAAUCCCUCCACUUGGGUUCAAUGAGGAAGAGCUAAGAGAAAUGCAUGGACUGAAGCGGAAACAGCAGAGAGAUCCAGACAGAGCAGAACACCAGAUUCAUCAUUGAAGUAGGGGGAGCUAAUGAGCACCUGGGCAUCAUUUUACCACAGCCUAUGACCAGCAACCCGAAGUCUUCGGCCGUCAGGUCAUCCAGGGCAUAUCUGUGUCCUGUGUGAAUACAUGUUGGUGACAUUUUUCUGUGUUCCAAAAAACAGAUACUAUUUGAGAUAAGGCUUUGAUGUAACACUGAAUAUCUGAUUAUUCACAACCAAUAAGACAGUAACAUUUUAAAAUAUUUUUACAUAAUAUGCAGAGGCUGUGGAGCCACCACCAGCAUUGUGUGAAUGUUUGAAUUGAGUGUGACCAGAAAUUGUUACUGUGUUCUAACACUAGCCCUGUGCCUAAAUUAAGUGUCAUAAUUCUGUUUGCAAAUUUCCAGUAAAACACCUUGUCAAUGCCA